rnacentral:rRNA from 1 species
GAUGUACGCUGGCGGCGUGCCUAAUACAUGCAAGUCGAGCGAACAGACGAGGAGCUUGCUCCUCUGACGUUAGCGGCGGACGGGUGAGUAACACGUGGAUAACCUACCUAUAAGACUGGGAUAACUUCGGGAAACCGGAGCUAAUACCGGAUAAUAUAUUGAACCGCAUGGUUCAAUAGUGAAAGACGGUUUUGCUGUCACUUAUAGAUGGAUCCGCGCCGCAUUAGCUAGUUGGUAAGGUAACGGCUUACCAAGGCAACGAUGCGUAGCCGACCUGAGAGGGUGAUCGGCCACACUGGAACUGAGACACGGUCCAGACUCCUACGGGAGGCAGCAGUAGGGAAUCUUCCGCAAUGGGCGAAAGCCUGACGGAGCAACGCCGCGUGAGUGAUGAAGGUCUGCGGAUCGUAAAACUCUGUUAUUAGGGAAGAACAAAUGUGUAAGUAACUAUGCACGUCUUGACGGUACCUAAUCAGAAAGCCACGGCUAACUACGU